rnacentral:rRNA from 1 species
GCGAACGUUAUUCGGAAUCACUGGGCUUACAGGGUGCGUAGGCGGCUUAGCAAGUCAGUUGUGAAAGCCCCCGGCUCAACCGGGGAACUGCGCUUGAAACUGCUGAGCUCGAGUCAGCUAGAGGUACACGGAACUUCCAGUGGAGCGGUGAAAUGUGUUGAUAUUGGAAGGAACACCGGAGGCGAAAGCGGUGUACUGGGGCUGGUCUGACGCUGAGGCACGAAAGCCAGGGGAGCGAACGGG